UACCAGCACCCCGAGUGGUCGGGACGAUUAUUGGGCCUAAAGCAUCCGUAGCCGGUUCUACAAGUCUUCCGUUAAAUCCAACUGCUUAACAGGUGGGCUGCGGAAGAUACUAUAGAGCUAGGAGGCGGGAGAGGCAAGCGGUACUCGAUGGGUAGGGGUAAAAUCCUUUGAUCCAUUGAAGACCACCAGUGGCGAAGGCGGCUCACUGGUCCGGUACUGACGCUGAGGUGCGAAAGCGUGGGGAGCAAACAGG
rnacentral:rRNA from 1 species